GCCGGGCUGGCUCAGUAUGAAGAGCGUGCGACUCUUGAUCUCGGGGUCGUGAGUUCAAGCCCCACGUUGGGUG
rnacentral:tRNA from 1 species